GACGAACGCUGGCGGCGUGCCUAAUACAUGCAAGUCGAGCGAAGCGGCGGAUGGGUGAGUAACGCGUGGGUAACCUGCCCUUAAGUCUGGGAUACCAUUUGGAAACAGAUGCUAAUACCGGAUACUAAAGGAUGGACCUGCGAUGCAUUAGCUUGUUGGUGGGGUAGUGGCCUACCAAGGGGACGACGGGUAACCGGCCUGAGAGGGCGACCGGCCAAAUGGGGACUGAGAUACGGCCCAAACUCCUACGGGGGGCAGGAGGGGGGAAUAUUGCACAAUGGGGGAAACCCUGAUGCAGCAACGCCGCGUGCGGGAUGACGGCCUUCGGGUUGUAAACCGCUUUCAGCCAUGACGCGGUAGUGGCAGAAGAAGCACCGGCUAACUACGUGCCAGCAGCCGCGGUAAUAC
rnacentral:rRNA from 1 species